GAAGCCAAAACAUUUUGAUCACUCCCUGGGAUAUUUUGUGCAUUUCCAAAUACCUACACUUGUGGUUUUGGCCCCCAAGAGCAUGUGCACAUCAGGAAGUCAAUGUACAAUACUGUCCAAGGUCUUAAAAACACCAAAGCGAAGUGCCCUUAAUACACACUAAAUCCACACUAUCUCAGAUAUUGCUUUGGAGAAGUAUUCAAGGCUAAGUGUAACCCAUCAUGCAUCAUGUUCUGGAAAUAAAUUGUGAGACUGUAAGUUAAGUAUUAAUAAUAACUAGAUAUUACAUAUAAUCUGGUAGUAAAAUGUGAAGUGUGCAAAUAGAUGUAGUCCAAUUCAUUGGCCCUGCUUACACCAUGUAUUAAGAUCCAUAUUUAUAUACCCUUGUUUAACCAUGUAUUAAGAUCCAUAUUUAUAUACCCUUGUUUAAGUGCAGUUGUUGAUUGACAGGUCAGUACAGUAGGUGUUCUAUUGCAUUUAACCAUGUAGGCAUUCGAACCCCAUGUAAGUAUUUAGCAAAACAGCAUCUUUAAGUCAUAAAACUUUUGCUAUGUGCUUUAUUCAUCAAAGACUACGAAAAGUCAAAAGUCAAAACUACGAAAGUCAAUUACUCUUGUACUUUUUCCUGUAGAUUGGAGCACCAUGAAUCUUCAGUACAGGACUUUAGUAAAUGACAGAAGUAAGUUUGCAGCCAUGGAUAAGCUUCUAUCUGAUGAGCGUUUGGAUCUGGCCGCCUGUUCUACUGAACCAGUGAUCAUUCAGAGGAGCAAAGAGCAGACUAAAAAAUACUAUGGUGAAUGGUGUCAGUGUUUGCUGGUGGAGGAGGGACUUGAGUUACUGUAUGAAUCACUGAAGGAUCCAAACUGCACUGUGAUCCUGUAUGAAUCACUGAAGGAUCCAAACUGCACUGUGAUCAUUAAAGGGUAUGUGUUUUAACUUUUUUUUUUUUAAUUCUAAGGCAUAGACCACAGCCCACUAUUGAGUCCACUAUCUAUUUAUUAGUUGAAAUGUAGAGCUUUUAGAUGAAGGAGGGUCAGAGUUCAGGAUCAGCACUCCGGCGGGUGCAGCAAGACUAUAUUAAUCAGUAUAUUGAUUACUUUCAUGACCAUGCAUCAUAUUUUAAUUAAGAUAAUACCAUAUUAAGUAAAUAGCAUAAUAUAAAGUAAAAGAAGGGUGGCCAGAAGGGUCGUCUGACGCUCUUCAGGACUGCU
rnacentral:lncRNA from 1 species